rnacentral:tRNA from 1 species
CGGGCUGUAGCGCAGUUGGUAGCGCGCAGGGCUGGGGGUCCUGAGGCCGCGGGUUCGAUCCCCGCCAGCCCGA